CAGCUGGUCAGGGCAGCAACAUUGGAUGCACACUACCUGGCACUGCAUGGAUUUAACAAGAAUUAGCCUUUACGAGAGACGAGACCGCUUGUAGGGAGGAAUUGUCGAGCUUUCUGAGUCUCUGCCUGGAAGACCAGCAUUCAGCACUGUUGACAUUGAGACUGGUGUUUUGCAGGAACUAUUUAAGGAAGCUUCCAGUUGAGGACCUGUGAGAACAAGAGUAGACUGACGAGUUUCAGGAGAAAGUUACUGGCCAUUUUGAGCCUGUAAUCGAACACACAAUUGAUCAUUCCCAAGCUCCGGAC